ACCAUCUCACUCCCUUUCAGAUUCCUCUGGUUCUUCAGGUGUAGAGCGAGAAAGUCUGCAGUACAGAGGAUUAAGCUGUGGGAGAACAUGAUCAGGGCUUCUUCAGCCUCUCUCUUCACAAGAAGAAUUUGAGGCAUUUCAUCUAACUGCGCAUGCCCACUCUCCCUGGAUCCCCAGAACCUUCCAUGGUGCCUUGGGCAUACACUAGGGGGAUGAAAAACAACCUGCUGCUUCAACCGACCAACUGGCUAGCAAUGGCUUGAGCCUUUCCCUGACAAAGGAUUUUUAUAGGAAAACUGCGGCACAGGCCUUCCUUACAAUAUGCACAUUGGUAAACUCAUGGGCACCGAAAGAUAGUUCCAGGAAGGAAAACUUGGCUUCUGACUUUAUUACCGACAAUACAUUGUACAAGUUUUUCUGCAUCAAAGUAGUUCAUGCUAAAAAGGAGAAGCCGGUUUGUUUGACCCCCCCCCCAGACUUGUAAGAAUAAUUCACCUAAAAAAGAACCCAUUUCUCUAAUUUUAAAGAAAAUAUACUUUUUACACAAGACAACCCAAACUGAUGCAAAAUAUUUAUUCCAAGUUAGUUAUUUUAUGCAGUAGUUUCCCCCUUCAACAGACUUGUGAUAACCACAUCUUUUAAAUCUGUAAAUAAUGUUAUCAAAAUAAUCUUAAUCUUUGAAAUCUCACAAAAAUUUAUAUUUUACAAUCCACCCUGAAUAUCAAGGCUGCAAGAAUAACACAACAUUUCCUAUAUCCAAAUAUUUUACAGCUGUACCCAAAAAAGAAAA